GUUCCUUCCUUUCAGGUUUUUUUGUCGAAGGCACCUUCAUCAACCAUGAAGGUGCAUUCAUUUAAUUAAGGAGCCUUCAUCAACCAUGAAGGUACCUAUAUGGUUCAUGAUGCCUUUAGCACUGUAGCUCAAAGGUUAGGGAGGGUUUUAAUCUGAUUUUUGAUAGCCAAAGAGAAUGAAAAAGAUCAAGAACAAAUCGAUAAAUCUCUCACACAACUACUGAGAUUAGCCCAUUCCCUUCACUACCACC
rnacentral:lncRNA from 1 species